UGGAAAAGAAAAAUAGGCAAAGAAUCAAUCAGACACAAUAAAAAAUGAUAAAGGGGAGAUCACCACAAAUCCCGCAGAAAUACAACUACCAACAGAGAAUAUUAGAAUAUUAUAAACACCUCUAUGCAA